rnacentral:rRNA from 1 species
GUGCCAGCAGCCGCGGUAAUACGAAGGAUCCAAGCGUUGUCCGGAUUUACUGGGUUUAAAGGGUGCGUAGGCGGACUUUUAAGUCAGUGGUGAAAGCUCGCAGCUUAACUGUGAAAUUGCCAUUGAAACUGAAAGUCUCGAGUGUGGUUGAGGUAACUGGAAUAUAUCAUGUAGCGGUGAAAUGCUUAGAUAUGAUAUAGAACACCAAUUGCGAAGGCAGGUUACUGAGCCACAACUGACGCUGAGGCACGAAAGCGUGGGGAUCAAACAGGAUUAGAAACCCCGGUAGUCC